GUCAUCGUUUUAAGUUGUGGGAUUUAUACACGUAAAUUCGUACUUCACGAAUCGUUUUGGAGAUAGUUAAAUUGAUUUGAAUUGUUCAGAUAACAGGAUUGAUCGUUAAAAUAUGCAUAUUAGGAGAUAAAACACUAGUAGAUAUACAACUGCUUUAAUAAGGGCGUUUCCCUGGGGCCCAGAAUCUAGACGUUAUCACUACUCUCUCAAAAGGAAAGAUAGGAUCAAUCGAUUAAAAAGGGUAAAAGGGAGCAUGUAGUGCUUAGAAUAUUGAGGUUUUAUGAAGUGAUCCAAAUCAUGUACAAUAGCUUUUCCUUCAAGCCUUCUGACUUCGCAUGCAUUUCAUUCCCACUGUGCAGACUGACAUGGAACUGUCUAUAACUAGGAGGAUGCGUAUCUAGGAAACAAUCAACUGUUAGCAAGGGCUAUGAUUAAUGAGGAUCUAAUGAGAGGAAUGGGGGAAAUAUUACAAUAGGCUAUUAGUGGCAGUUAGUAGGGACACCUAGCAUCUAUACAAACAGCAUAUGUAAUAUCUAUUAGAGCUGCAGUGUGGGAUCAAUUUGUCUUGAAUCAGUUAAGACUAUUUCUCAAACAUCUACGAGAAUGGCAGCUUCCAUUCAUUAUCUCAUCAAACACAGCUUUGUAUCAAUCUUAUUGGCUUUAUUAAAUACCACAUGGGCUGUUGAGUGGAGUUUGGAAAAUAAACAAAAAUUCAAUGAUUACGUUAAGGCUGUUAUGGAUUGCCGACAAAUUCCCGGACUCCAGGUGUCCGUUGUGCAAAACGGGAGAGUUAUCUUAACUGAGGGUUACGGUCUGAGGAAUUCAGAGACACGGGCCCCUGUCUCAGCUACUACAAAAUUUCCGAUUGGUUCUCUUACCAAAGCUUUCACCGCUAAUAUUCUCGCUAUGCAACUCAGUCAAAAACCGAAUUUAGGGAAAUAUAAUUGGGAUACCCCGAUAGUGAAAAUAUUCGGUGACACGUUCCAACUUAUGGAUGACAUGCGGACGCAGAAUGUGAACAUCCGGGACUUGUUGUCACAUAGGGUUGGUGUCCCAAGCUACUUCACAGCCCUUUUGACCGGAUUUCCCUCGACAAUUUCCAGGAAAGAAUUAGUAUGGAAAUUGAGGUACAUGCGAUCCGUCCCAGAUUCCUUUCGGUCCAAGCUCAUCUAUAACAACUAUAUGUAUGUAUUGGCUGGUUACAUAUCAGAGCAUCUAGCGAAUGGAACUAGUUGGGAAUCAUUGGUGCGUAAUAUGAUAUUUCAGCCAUUAGAGAUGACGUCAUCAACUUUUGUAGACGUUUUAGAUGACGUCGAAGAUUUCGCUUUUGCCCAUACAACCUUGGAUGGUGUCUUCGAACUUAUAGAUAAUGAUGUUGCAAGGGCAGUCCAUCCUGCCGGACCAGCCGGCUCUAUAGUUUCAAACGCCUUAGAUAUAUCAACAUGGAUGUUGUAUCAGCUCAAACAUGGUCAAGACAAAGAAGGCGUUCCUCUAGUCUCGCGAGAGUUCUUUGACGAGACUUGGAAAGGACAGAUGCCUGAACCAUUUAGUGAGAGAAAUAUCAUACAACCUGAGUUCCCCGUGGAAGAUAUCAAUGUUGCUUAUGAUUUCGGAUGGAUAACUUCAGUGUAUAGAGGUUAUCGUAAGAUAUGGCACUCAGGGGGAAUAUCGACGUACUCUUCAUUAUUAAACCUCUUCCCAGAUAAGAAUGCUGGAGUGUAUGGGGUUGUUAACGGGGGUGGACCUCAUAAAUCAGUAGGUCUCAAGAUGAUACUCAAUUAUGCUUCUGAUUUGCUUCUAAACCAAGAACCAUGGCUCAACCAAUCAACAGCUUGUACGUUUCCUCAACCAUGGGAACCACCUGUUCCCGGAAAUACGUCACCAGUGACAACACCAACAUAUAGGUUGGAUCUGGAAUUAGAUAACGAAUACAAUGGCAACUAUAGUCACCCAAUGUUCGGUGACAUAUCAGUACAUUCAACACUACAUCAGGGCGCUGUCCAACUUAAACUUAACUUCGGACGAUUCGGAGUGUUUUCUUUAAGUCGUUCAGCAGACCUGUCAAAUUCGUUUAAAGCUACGUUUAGCGGUAUACUUUCCUAUUUAUCUACCUCAGAUCUUAAAGUGCCUCCACUAAUGCUGAUAUUUAAAGACAAAAAUAAAGCGGGGAAAAUGACUAGACUUGAGUUCCCUGUAGACCAAAUGAUUAAAACCGAUUUCAUCAGGGAUUUUAAACUAAAUGACAUCAUGGGAAAUAGCAAUGCAAUUACUUGCCCUUGCUGUACUAACAGGGCAUCUAAGAACGCAUAUAAUGGACGAUAUUUUGUACAUAUGGCUAUUAUAUUCAUUUCCAUACAUGUACUGGCUUUAGGGUAGUGUAAAUCAUACUUAUGAUCUAUUGGUAUUGUAAAUAUAAAUAUGGUGUAUAGUUACGAGAAUGUAAAGAGUAUUUGUAUAGUUAUUGCUACAACAAUCGUGUAUAUCGUUUAAAACACAUAGAUCUAUAGUAUAAAGGUUCUACAAAUGUAUACGUUUAUAAAAUAGUUGUUCUCAGUGAUUUUAUAUUUCAUAUUUACUCACAAAUGUUGUAAAUUUGAGAUGCUAAUAAUUUAUGUUAAUAUGAA
rnacentral:misc_RNA from 1 species